GAUGAACGCUGGCGGCGUGCCUAAUACAUGCAAGUCGAGCGAACGGACGAGAAGCUUGCUUCUCUGAUGUUAGCGGCGGACGGGUGAGUAACACGUGGAUAACCUACCUAUAAGACUGGGAUAACUUCGGGAAACCGGAGCUAAUACCGGAUGAUAUUUUGAACCGCAUGGUUCAAAAGUGAAAGACGGUCUUGCUGUCACUUAUAGAUGGAUCCGCGCUGCAUUAGCUAGUUGGUAAGGUAACGGCUUACCAAGGCAACGAUGCAUAGCCGACCUGAGGGGGUGAUCGGCCACACUGGAACUGAGACACGGUCCAGACUCCUACGGGAGGCAGCAGUAGGGAAUCUUACGCAAUGGGCGAAAGCCUGACGGAGCAACGCCGCGUGAGUGAUGAAGGUCUUCGGAGCGUAAAACUCUGUUAUUAGGGAAGAACAUAUGUGUAAGUAACUGUGCACAUCUUGACGGUACCUAAUCAGAAAGCCACGGCUAACUACGUG
rnacentral:rRNA from 1 species